AGUGAACGCUGGCGGUAGGCCUAACACAUGCAAGUCGAACGGCAGCACAGUAAGAGCUUGUUCUUACGGGUGAAGAGUGGCGGACGGGUGAGGAAUACAUCCGAAUCUACAUUUUCGUGGGGGAUAACGUAGGGAAACUUACGCCAAUACCGCAUACGACAUACGGGUGUUAGCAGCGGAUCUUCGGACCUUGCGCGACUGAAUGAGCCGAUGUGGGAUUAGCUAGUUGGCGGGUUAAAGGCCCACCAAGGCGACGAUCCGUAGCUGGUCGGAGAGGUGGACCGCCAACACGGGAACGGGAACACGGUCCGGACUCCUACGGAGGGAGGCAUAGGGGAAUAUUGGACAAUGGGCGCAAUCCUGAUCCAGCCAGACCGGGUGGUUGAAGAAGGCUUUCGGGUUGUAAAGCCCGUUUGUAGGGAAAGAAAAGCAUCAGGUUAAUACCCCGCUGUUCUGACGGUACCCAAAGAAUAAGCACCGGCUAACUUCGUG
rnacentral:rRNA from 1 species